rnacentral:rRNA from 1 species
AUACGUAGGGGGCGAGCGUUAUCCGGAUUUAUUGGGUUUAAAGGGUGCGUAGGCGGCUUUGUAAGUCAGCGGUGAAAUUUUGCAGCUUAACUGUAAAAGUGCCGUUGAUACUGUGAGGCUAGGAUUUGGUUGCUGUGGGUGGAAUGUGUGGUGUAGCGGUGAAAUGCUUAGAGAUCACACAGAAUAUCGAUUGCGAAGGCAGCUCACAAAGCCAAGAUUGACGCUGAGGCACGAAAGUGUGGGGAUCAAACAGGAUUAGAUACCCUGGUAGUCCACACUGUAAACGAUGAUAACUCGCUGUCGGCGAUAUACAGUCGGUGGCCAAGCGAAAGCGAUAAGUUAUCCACCUGGGGAGUAUGACCGCAAGGUUGAAACUCAAAUGAAUUGACGGGG